rnacentral:rRNA from 1 species
GACGAACGCUGGCGGCGUGCUUAACACAUGCAAGUCGUACGGUAAGGCCCUUUCGGGGGUACACGAGUGGCGAACGGGUGAGUAACACGUGAGUAACCUGCCCACAACAUUGGGAUAAAGCUAGGAAACUGGUGCUAAUACUGGAGAUGUGCUCCUGCUGCAUGGUGGGGGUUGGGAAGAUCCGGCUGUUGUGGAUGGACUCGCGGCCUAUCAGCUUGGUGGUGGGGUAGUGGCCUACCAAGGCGGCGACGGGUAGCCGGGCUGGGAGGGUGACCGGCCACAUUGGGACUUGGAAACGGCCCAGACUCCUACGGGAGGCAGCAGUUGGGAAUAUUUCACAAUGGGCGCAAGCCUGAUGCAGCAACGCCGCGGGCGGGAUGACGGCCUUCGGGUUGUAAACCGCUUUCAGCAGGGACGAAACUUUUUGUGACGGUACCUGCAGAAGAAGCACCGGCUAACUACGUG